AUGGCCACCACCGUCGGCGCCGCGCCGACGGCAUUGGACGAGAAGGCCCGGCGCACGCGCGAUCUCCUGGCCAGUUUCUACAACACCGACUCCGCGGCCGCCGGCGCGACCGCCGCGUCCCCGGCGCGGCCCUCACCCACCGCCGCCACCGCGUCGCCGCUCGAGUCCAUCAACUCCACCUCCUUCAACCCAGAUGUCUACAUGGACGUCCUGGUGCAACAAUCAAAUCUGGAAGCCCUUCUACAGAGGCAUGUGAAGAUGGCUGCCGAGAUCAAGAACCUGGACACAGACUUACAGAUGCUAGUAUAUGAGAAUUAUAACAAAUUUAUAAGUGCAACUGACACUAUAAAAAGGAUGAAGACUAACAUUGCUGGUAUGGAGACAAACAUGGAACAACUACUUUCAAAGAUAACAUCAGUGCAGUCAAGAAGUGACACAGUGAACACGUCUCUUUUCAACAAAAGAGAAAACAUAGAGAAAUUACACCGAACACGCAAUCUCCUCCGGAAAGUUCAAUUCAUAUACGAUCUGCCAACUCGGCUCAACAAAUGCAUCAAGGCAGAAGCAUAUGCGGACGCAGUCAGAUUUUUUACUGGAGCAAAACCCAUUUUUGAGGCCUAUGGUGAUACAUCCUUUCAAGACUGUAAAAAAGCAUCUGAGGAGGCAAUGGAUUUGGUUAUACAACAGCUUCAGGCAAAGUUGUAUUCAGAUUCUGAACCUAUUGAAGCAAGAGCAGAAGCUGUGGUGCUUCUUAAGCAACUUAAUUUUCCUGUCGACAACCUUAAGUCAAACCUACUUGAGAAGCUCGAAGAUUGCCUUUUAAAUUUGCAGACCGAGCCCACACAGGCUUCAGUUGGUGAUAUUUCAAAGACAUUCCGGGCUUAUCUCAUAAUAUUUCCUGAUUCAGAAAGUCGUCUCAUUGAACUUGCACAUGCUUUGUUCACAAACCGUUAUGAAACAGUCAGAGAGGCUCUGAAGGAAAGAAUUCCAUCAACAGAUCUGCUGGCAAUGCUACGAGGUUUAUGGGAGGAUGCAACUGCCAUCGAUGAAGUUAUAUCAGAGGCUGCACUGCCAGCUUUUUCAUUGGAGACUACUCGAGACAUUAUUAAGCAACACAUAGCAACUGCCUUUCUUCAUCUUCAAACUGAAAUAUCAGAUGUACUGGUCACACACUCAACAUCAAACGAGAAGUUAGAAGAGUCACAGCUGCAAACUGCCAUGGAAAAAAGCAAAAUUAAAGUAUCCCAAGGGUGUAUAGAUCUCCUGCAGGAAUUCCGUCAUCUUAUAGAUGGGAAUACAGAGUUGCUAGUGAAGCUGAAAGAUUUGAUUAUUGAUUGGGUACAAGAAGGUUUUCAAGAUUUCUUUCAGAAACUUGAUGGGCAUUUUCAUCUGCUUUCUGGGAGAAGCACGGGUUUCUCUCAAGAGUCAAGUACUGUGGAUUUUGUGCAAAUUGACAAGGUUCCAACAGUGUUGGUGCUCAUGCUUGCGCAGCUUUGUGUUUUCAUAGAACAGACAACGAUUCCUAAAGUUACAGAGGACUUGGCUGAUUCUUUCUCUGGAGGGGGAGCACGUAGCUCUGAAUAUGGACCACCUUUUGUACCUGGGGAGAUAUGUCGUCUAUAUCGUUCAUCUGGGGAGAAAUUCUUACAACAUUACAUAAAUAUAAAGACUCAGAAGAUUUCCAAACUUCUUAAUAAGCGAUUUUCGACACCGGUCUGGCUAAAGCACAAGGAACCACGGGAAGUUAACAUGUUUGUUGAUCUACUUCUCCUAGAGUUCAAUGGCGUAGUAUCUGAAGUCAAGCAGAUCUUACCUGGUUUAAUCCGGCGGCAUCGGCAUUCUGAUAGCACUGGCAGCACCACUUCCUCUAGAAGCAAUCCGAUGCGAGAAGACAUGUUGAACCGAUCAAACACAAACCGGAGUAGAAGUCAAUUUCUAGAAAAUCAUCUAGCAAAAUUAUUCGAACAGAAAAUGGAAAUAUUCACCAAACUUGAAUACACACAGGAAUCUGUAAUUUCUACUGUCCUCAAGCUUUGCCUGAAAAGUUUGCAAGAAAUUGUCCGGCUUCAGACCUUCAACAGAAGUGGAUUUCAGCAGAUUCAGUUGGAUAUGGAAUUUCUGAAGAGCUCCCUCAAGGAGUUUAUUGAUGAUGAAGCAGCCAUAAGCUUUUUACUUAAAGAGGUGAACAAUGCUGCACACGAGAGAUGUCUUGACCCGAUACCUCUUGAGGCCCCAAUAUUAGAUAAACUCAUAAAUGCAAAACUGGCAAAAAUCAAAGAGCAAAGCGCGAAUAUGUAG
rnacentral:rRNA from 1 species